UACGGAGGAUCCAAGCGUUAUCCGGAAUUACUGGGCGUAAAGAGUUGUGUAGGUGGUUACGUAAGCAAUGUGUGAAAUGACGGGGCUCAACCCUGUGUCCAUGCAUUGAACUGCGUUGACUAGAGAGUGGUAGAGGUCGCUAGAAUUCCUGGUGUAGGGGUGAAAUCCGUAGAUAUCAGGAGGAAUACCGAUGGCGUAGGCAGGCGACUGGACCAUUUCUGACACUCAGACACGAAAGCGUGGGGAGCGAUCGGG
rnacentral:rRNA from 1 species